rnacentral:rRNA from 1 species
GUCCAGACUCCUACGGGAGGCAGCAGUGGGGAAUAUUGCACAAUGGGGGAAACCCUGAUGCAGCGACGCCGCGUGAGUGAAGAAGUAUUUCGGUAUGUAAAGCUCUAUCAGCAGGGAAGAAAAUGACGGUACCUGAUUAAGAAGCCCCGGCUAACUACGUGCCAGCAGCCGCGGUAAUACGUAGGGGGCAAGCGUUAUCCGGAUUUACUGGGUGUAAAGGGAGCGUAGACGGUGAAGCAAGUCUGAAGUGAAAGGCGGGGGCUCAACCCCCGGACUGCUUUGGAAACUGUUUGACUGGAGUGAAGGAGAGGUAAGUGGAAUUCCUAGUGUAGCGGUGAAAUGCGUAGAUAUUAGGAGGAACACCAGUGGCGAAGGCGGCUUACUGGACUGUAACUGACGUUGAGGCUCGAAAGCGUGGGGAGCAAACAGGAUUAGAUACCCCAGUAACA